rnacentral:rRNA from 1 species
GAUGAACGCUAGCGACAGGCCUAACACAUGCAAGUCGAGGGGCAGCACAAGGAGCAAUCUGAGGUGGCGACCGGCGCACGGGUGAGUAACACGUAUGCAACCUGCCUGUAAGCGGGGAAUAACCCGUUGAAAGACGGACUAAUACCGCAUAAUACUAAAUUACUGCAUGGUAAUUUAUUUAAACAUUUAUGGCUUACAGAUGGGCAUGCGUAUGAUUAGUUAGUUGGUGAGGUAACGGCUCACCAAGACAUCGAUCAUUAGGGGUUCUGAGAGGAAGGUCCCCCACACUGGUACUGAGACACGGACCAGACUCCUACGGGAGGCAGCAGUGAGGAAUAUUGGUCAAUGGGCGAGAGCCUGAACCAGCCAAGUCGCGUGAAGGAAGACGGUUCUAUGGAUUGUAAACUUCUUUUGUAAGGGAAUAAAAAAGAGUACGUGUACUUUCUUGUAUGUACUUUACGAAUAAGGAUCGGCUAACUCCGUG